CGGCGCAGGCUGCUCGGUUACCCGGCGAGGUCGGCGCGACGCCUGCCCGGCGCGAGGUUUCCCGGCCGCUGUCUCCCGCUCAGGCGGCGGCUCCGGGCCUCGGAGGCUUCUAAUGUGAGGAAAAACACGGACUGACAAGUGUGGGAAAGAGCAAGCACUAAAUUACUGUCAGAAAAAUAAACGGAGCAGCACAGUGGUGCUCAGUGAUUUACGGGGGCAAUUAGUCACCACCCCACAGCGCUGGCUGCCGAGGACGAGGAUGCCUGGCAGCAGACACAUCAGGCCCACGAGGAGGAAGAGGCACUGCACUAAGCUCCAGAUGACUUUUCAAACAAGAGCGAGACUGUGAGCACAUGAGGGUCUAUGUGUUCAUUCUGGGUGUCUACCCUUCACACUCUCCACCAGCUUGGUAAAUAAAGAGACUUUUAGUGCAGUGUUACGGUUCUGUGUGUUCAACAACCACAGCCGCAGCUUUCUUCUCUCAAGCUGCCCAUCCCUUAAGACCACCCCCUUCACUUUCCUGUUGUCCUAUGGUAUCUGUGUCCUUUCUUCUUGCAUUCUUCCACCCUGCUCCACAUUUGUUUAGAACAACAUGGUGCUAAGGAAUUUAAACCAAACCUCCUCUGAUGAAAUUUGAUGUGAUAAAGGAGCCACAAAUAAACUUGCCAAUAUUUGCACAUAUGUUCAUUACCAAUGCAUUGUCUGUAUACAUGUAACAACACAUUUGUUUAUUUGGGUAUGAUUAAUUGGCGUAGAUUCCUUUACAAAUAUCUACUAUCAAAAGAAACCUAGCAUGGCAGAUGACAGCUCUACAGAAAGACAAAGACCACAGUGACUAAAGGCCACAUCUGAGUGGGGACAACAGCAAAGCUAUGUAAGGAGUCCUCGUAGAGGUGACCGGAGGACAUUGCCAUCUCACGCCCGAAACACCUGCUCCAUCAGGAAUGUGUUCAGCGGCUUGGCACACGGUUUGAGAUUGUGUCCCAACAUACUUACCUUUGACUUUCAAACUGAAAUUCCAAAGAGGCAGAACCAGGCUGAUGAUCUGGGUAUCUGAUGUGCCGUUCACCGGGACUCUGAACUUAUUUCCCUCCCUUCCUCUCCCCUCUUAGCUCUUGUCUCUUCUCCCCAUUCCCCUUAACACAGUGCCACUGUAUAGCCCAGGCUGGCCUUGAACUCUCUACUCACCUUUAGGCCUACCACAAACAGCACUAGAGUUAAAGGUCUGCACAUGCCAGUUAGACACUGCAUGUCUGCUAUGAAAUAUUAAAAAGGGAGGAACUCUAGCUUUUCUUGAUAUUUUCCUCCACAUUAUUAAGCCAUUUCCCCCUUGAAUUUUAUAAGCACACACUUUAAAAAAUGUUAAUAACAUGCGCUAAGAUGUAGAAUCACAUUUCAUAACCAUAGUCACACUGGUUUUCUUUUCCCCUGUAACAAUGAACACAAAGCCAACCAUCAAGGGAGACGGAUAUGUUUCUCUGCAAUAUUUCAGGCAUAUGAAAUUACUAAAAUCUUACACAGAUGCCAGAAAUGGUGUAAUUAAAAAGGUCCAUCAAUGCACAAAACCCAUUUUUAAAGGCAUCAUGCAGUUCCCAGAUUCUCUUUCCCCCAAAGUCAUGUUGUGGUUUUUGUAGAGAGACAAACUGAAAACAUCACCCACUUUUUUUUAAAAUGAAAUUUAAGGUAUAAAAUCUCUACCUUUCUGAUAAACUUUGUUUUUUCUUUGAUUUAGGUGGAACAUCCUGAAAUACUACCUCUAUAAGGGCCACAUUUUUAUAUACAUAUUAUUUUUAUUUAGGUAUUAUGUCUAGACAGAAUUUAAGGAGGAGUGAAAAUGACAUUGGCUAUUAUAGUUAUUUCUUGAUUAAAAUGCUAGCCUUUUGUAUCCAGAUUUGAAUAUCUACAAAUCACAGAACUUUCAUACUUUUCAAAGAGAGGAUUUGGGUUGAAUGAAAAUGGAAGGCUGGAGCCUUCUACGUGUGUAUGUUUGUAUAGAAUAUUUAUGCAGUAUUCUGACUUGGCUAUAAUCUAUAAUUCUUGGCUAUUAUUUCAGUUGCAACAAUAAUUUUUAGAUUAAUGGUUAUAAUUUUAGUAAGGCACACAUGAAAAGUUUUAUGUUCAUGCUCGAAAGGAGGAUCAUUAAAUAUUCAUUAUUACUACUCAGAUUAGGUGUCAGGCUCUACAAAACAGUUAUCAUCUCACGAGUUUACAUUCUGCAAUAAGUGAAUGACAGGCAGUGUGUGGCUCAGAGCAGUGGAGGAAUUGUAGGGGGAGGGCUGGGCAACAGGGAGAGAAGUGAUUUUAAAACCUCAUUUGACAUACUUAUGUUGACAAAUUAUUUAGAGGUAUUACUAUAUCAUCAAUAAAUAUGUUUAUGUGUUGGGAUGGGAUAAUGCAAGAAUUUGCUUCUAGCUGCUUAAUUACCCCAUGAUGGUGAAAAACAUGUUUCUGCAAAUAGGAGGAAAACACUGAGCUCCAAAGGCUGGGCUGUGGUAGUGGUUUGUGUACAUCUGACUUCAUCAUGAGGAAAAGUGGCUUUGCUGUUUAUAGUUAGCUCUCUCCAUCUGUCAUCAGAUGUACUUAUCAGAAACAGAAAUGUAAAACAGAUUGUUAUAAAUGUUGUGAUGCACAUAUAGAGAGAUUGUGUCUUAUCAAUCUAUUUUGGAAAAAUACACAGAGAAAUAAAUGCAAUUAUAUUUUAAUGCAAAAGAA